GACCGGGGGGCGGGGCGGACGGGUCUGGGCGGAGCGGGAGGCGGAGGCGCCGCGUAGGCCCGGGAGGCCGGGCCGGCCGGGCUGCGAGCCCCUGCCCCAUGCGCCGCCGCCUCCCCGCACGAUGUUCCCCUCGCGGAGGAAAGCGGCGCAGCUGCCCUGGGAGGACGGCAGGUCCAGGUUGCUCUCCGGCAGCCUCCCUCGGAAAUGCUCAGUCUUCCACCUCUUCGUGGCCUGUCUCUUACUGGGCUGCUUCUCCCUGCUCUGGCUGCAGCUCAGCUGCUCUGGUGAUGUGGGCCGGGCAGCCAGGGGACAAGGGCAGGAGACCUCGGGCCCUCCUCGGGCCUGCCCCCCAGAGCCACCCCCUGAGCAGUGGGAAGAAGACGCAUCCUGGGGUCCCCACCGCUUGGCAGUGCUGGUGCCCUUCCGCGAACGCUUCGAGGAGCUCCUGGUCUUUGUGCCCCACAUGCACCGCUUCCUGAGCAGGAAGAAGAUCCAGCACCACAUCUAUGUACUCAACCAGGUGGACCACUUCAGGUUCAACCGGGCGGCGCUUAUCAACGUGGGCUUCCUGGAGAGCAGCAACAGCACGGACUACAUUGCCAUGCAUGACGUUGACCUGCUCCCUCUCAACGAGGAGCUGGACUAUGGCUUUCCUGAGGCUGGGCCCUUCCACGUGGCCUCCCCAGAGCUCCACCCUCUCUACCACUACAAGACUUAUGUCGGCGGCAUCCUGCUGCUCUCCAAGCAGCACUACCAGCUGUGCAACGGGAUGUCCAACCGCUUCUGGGGCUGGGGCCGCGAGGACGAUGAGUUCUACCGGCGCAUUAAAGGAGCUGGGCUGCAGCUUUUCCGCCCCUCGGGAAUCACAACGGGGUACAAGACGUUUCACCACCUGCAUGACCCAGCCUGGCGGAAGAGGGACCAGAAGCGCAUCGCGGCUCAAAAACAGGUGCUGGCAGGGCUCCUCAUCGGGGACGGAUAGGUGGUGAUGUGGGGAGCCAGCAGGCCUGAGCUUUCACCAAGUUCUCCUUGGCCCAAACGGCCCCAUCCUUCCCUGCUUGGCCCAGGAGCAGUUCAAGGUGGACAGGGAGGGAGGCCUGAACACUGUGAAGUACCAUGUGGAUUCCCGCACUGCCCUGUCCGUGGGCGGGGCCCCCUGUACUGUCCUCAACAUCAUGUUAGACUGUGACAAGACCGCCACGCCCUGGUGCACAUUCAGCUGAGUUGGAUGGACAAUGAGGAAGCCUGUACCUACAGGCCACGUUGCUAAGGCUCAGGACAAGGCCUCAGGUCCCAGGCCCAGCUCCGACAGGAUGUGGGGUGGCCACGACCAAGACAGCAAGCUCCUCAGUUGCAGCCAGCUGGCCGCCAAGGCAGGCUUGAGCUGGGCCAGGACACAUGGGGUGCCUGGGACGCUGCUAGCCGUGCACAGUGAUCAGAGGGAGGCUGGGGUGUGUCCUGACCAGGAUCCCCCCUGCCUUCCUGCUCUCCCUACUCUGGCCUCCUUCACGUGCCAAGGCCUGUGGGCAGUGGGGAGGGCUGAACAGGACAACUUCUCAUCAGUCCUGAUUUUGUUCCUUCCUGCUGGGCUGCCUUGUGCAAAGACACAGCGCAGGGGCCACGCAGCUGGCGUAGGUGGCAGCUGGGCCUGGGAGGGUUAGAACUCCGGAAACCAGAGCACAAGCCCCACAGAGGGAACAGCCAGCACCGUCUAGCUGGUGGUCGCCGUGCUGGAAUGUGGGCCUAGUGUUGCCAGAUCUUCUGAUUUUUCAAAAGAAACUGGAAUGCUGGAUUCUUAAGUGAAACCUUCUGGUUUUUAAAUGAUAGCACCUAAAUGAAACUUUCAAAAAGUAUGGCAGGCCAGA